rnacentral:tRNA from 1 species
GCGUCGGUGGCUCAGAGGUUAAGCAGUUGAUUUGUAAUCUAUAAAUCCUGGGUUCGAAUCCCGCCAUGUA